CAAACCUUGGCAGAAGCGGUGGUUUGUUCUCGAAGGGUUUGACCUAUUAUACUAUGAGGACAGUAAGGCUACAGAGCCCCUUGGUCUCAUCCCGCUGGAGAUCGCCUCUUCCAUCAAAAUCAUAAAAAAAGGA
rnacentral:ribozyme from 1 species